GAUGAACGCUGGCGGCAGGCUUAACACAUGCAAGUCGAGCGGAGAGAGGUAGCUUGCUACCGAUCUUAGCGGCGGACGGGUGAGUAAUGCUUAGGAAUCUGCCUAUUAGUGGGGGACAACAUUUCGAAAGGAAUGCUAAUACCGCAUACGUCCUACGGGAGAAAGCAGGGGAUCUUCGGACCUUGCGCUAAUAGAUGAGCCUAAGUCGGAUUAGCUAGUUGGUGGGGUAAAGGCCUACCAAGGCGACGAUCUGUAGCGGGUCUGAGAGGAUGAUCCGCCACACUGGGACUGAGACACGGCCCAGACUCCUACGGGAGGCAGCAGUGGGGAAUAUUGGACAAUGGGCGAAAGCCUGAUCCAGCCAUGCCGCGUGUGUGAAGAAGGUCUUCGGAUUGUAAAGCACUUUAAGUUGGGAGGAAGAGUUGUAAGCUAAUAUCUUGCAGCUUUGACGUUACCAACAGAAUAAGCACCGGCUAACUCUGUGCCAGCCGCCGCAGUAACAC
rnacentral:rRNA from 1 species